rnacentral:rRNA from 1 species
UGGGGAAUUUUGGACAAUGGGCGAAAGCCUGAUCCAGCAAUGCCGCGUGUGUGAAGAAGGCCUUCGGGUUGUAAAGCACUUUUGUCCGGAAAGAAAUCCUUGGCUCUAAUACAGUCGGGGGAUGACGGUACCGGAAGAAUAAGCACCGGCUAACUACGUGCCAGCAGCCGCGGUAAUACGUAGGGUGCAAGCGUUAAUCGGAAUUACUGGGCGUAAAGCGUGCGCAGGCGGUUUGCUAAGACCGAUGUGAAAUCCCCGGGCUCAACCUGGGAACUGCAUUGGUGACUGGCAGGCUAGAGUAUGGCAGAGGGGGGUAGAAUUCCACGUGUAGCAGUGAAAUGCGUAGAGAUGUGGAGGAAUACCGAUGGCGAAGGCAGCCCCCUGGGCCAAUACUGACGCUCAUGCACGAAAGCGUGGGGAGCAAACAGGAUUAGAUACCCUGGUAGUCCACGCCCUAAACGAUGCCAACUAGUUGUUGGGGAUUCAUUUCCUUAGUAACGUAGCUAACGCGUGAAGUUGACCGCCUGGGGAGUACGGUCGCAAGAUUAAAACUCAAAGGAAUUGACGGGGUCAUAGCUGUUUCCU